GAACAAGUCAGUACCCAGGCCGUGCUCUCCCAUGAACAAGUCAGUACCCAGGCCGUGCUCUCCAGUGAACAAGUCAGUACCCAGGCCGUGCUCUCUCCAGUGAACAAGUCAGUACCCAGGCCGUGCUCUCUCCCAUGAACAAGUCAGUACCCAGGCCGAGCUCUCCAGUGAACAAGUCAGUACCCAGGCCGUGCUCUCCAGUGAACAAGUCAGUACCCAGGCUGUGCUCUCUCCCAUGAACAAGUCAGUACCCAGGCCGUGCUCUCCAGUGAACAAGUCAGUACCCAGGCCGUGCUCUCCCAUGAACAAGUCAGUACCCAGGCCGUGCUCUCUCCCAUGAACAAGUCAGUACCCAGGCUGUG
rnacentral:lncRNA from 1 species